UCUGAUUUACCAACUCCAUUUUCAUCCAAAUGAAACUACUUUUGCUCUCAAAGUUUCAAAUCUAGAAAUAACUCAUCUUCCUCCAACUUCAUCUCCAUCUUCUUUUCCUUCUUCAACCUCCUCUCUACCAACACCACAAACUCAAAUACCACCCUUCAAACACAAACAAAGCUAUUGCUCCCAAAACAAUAAUAACCCAAAAAAUUGCAUCUUCAGGAACAAAAAUUAAUUUCUCACUUCAGAUCUAUUUCUUUUUUAGAGCAAAAUAAAUUUUAUUUGGGUUUGAAUGUGUUGAGUUUGGGUUAAGAAAAUGUUUCCAUGAG
rnacentral:lncRNA from 1 species